rnacentral:antisense_RNA from 1 species
CUUCACCGAGCCCAGCCACAGCGGCUCGCCGGUGCGGCCCUGGCCGUAGGUGGCCAGCAGCGCCUGCGCCUC